AGGGGUUUUUGAGCUUCAAAACUUCAGCAACUUGUAACCCUCUCAAAUCAAGAGAAACGUGAUUCGGGUCUUGAUCGAGGAAAGAAUAAAGGUUACGAUGAUUAAGCUUGUUUCUAUCAUUUUGCACUGAGUGCCGCCAAAGUA